rnacentral:rRNA from 1 species
UACGUAGGUGGCAAGCGUUGUCCGGAAUUAUUGGGCGUAAAGCGCGCGCAGGCGGUCCUUUAAGUCUGAUGUGAAAGCCCACGGCUCAACCGUGGAGGGUCAUUGGAAACUGGGGGACUUGAGUGCAGGAGAGAAGAGUGGAAUUCCACGUGUAGCGGUGAAAUGCGUAGAGAUGUGGAGGAACACCAGUGGCGAAGGCGACUCUCUGGUUCGAUACUGACACUGAGGCACGAAAGCGUGGGGAGCAAACAGG